UACGUAGGGGGCAAGCGUUGUCCGGAAUCAUUGGGCGUAAAGCGCGUGUAGGCGGCCAGGUAAGUCCGUUCUGAAAGCCCGGGGCUCAACCCCGGGAGGCGGAUGGAUACUGCUUGGCUCGAGUCCGGAAGAGGCGAGUGGAAUUCCCGGUGUAGCGGUGAAAUGCGUAGAUAUCGAGAGGAACACCUGCGGCGAAGGCGGGUUGCUGGGCUGAUACUGACGCUGAGGCGCGAAAGCCAGGGGAGCGAACGGG
rnacentral:rRNA from 1 species